rnacentral:tRNA from 1 species
CCUGGUGGCUCAGUUGGUAAAGAAUCUGCCUGUAAUGCAGGAGACCUGGGUUCAAUCCCUGAGUCAGGA